GUUAAGUUGCAGGGUAUAGACCCGAAACCCGGUGAUCUAGCCAUGGGCAGGUUGAAGGUUGGGUAACACUAACUGGAGGACCGAACCGACUAAUGUUGAAAAAUUAGCGGAUGACCUGUGGCUGGGGGUGAAAGGCCAAUCAAACCGGGAGAUAGCUGGUUCUCCCCGAAAGCUAUUUAGGUAGCGCCUCGUGAAUUCAUCUCCGGGGGUAGAGCACUGUUUCGGCUAGGGGGCCAUCCCGGCUUACCAACCCGAUGCAAACUGCGAAUACCGGAGAAUGUUAUCACGGGAGACACACGGCGGGUGCUAACGUCCGUCGUGAAGAGGGAAACAACCCAGACCGCCAGCUAAGGUCCCAAAGUCAUGGUUAAGUGGGAAACGAUGUGGGAAGGCCCAGACAGCCAGGAUGUUGGCUUAGAAGCAGCCAUCAUUUAAAGAAAGCGUAAUAGCUCACUGGUCGAGUCGGCCUGCGCGGAAGAUGUAACGGGGCUAAACCAUGCACCGAAGCUGCGGCAGCGAACGUAUCACCCAAGACAACUUUACGGAGUUGACGAUUGACGGAGCGAAGCGACGUCAAAGCGUUCAUUAAAGUCGAGUUGGCUUAGGGAUACGUUCGUUGGGUAGGGGAGCGUUCUGUAAGCCUGUGAAGGUGUGUCGUGAGGCAUGCUGGAGGUAUCAGAAGUGCGAAUGCUGACAUAAGUAACGAUAAAGCGGGUGAAAAGCCCGCUCGCCGGAAGACCAAGGGUUCCUGUCCAACGUUAAUCGGGGCAGGGUGAGUCGACCCCUAAGGCGAGGCCGAAAGGCGUAGUCGAUGGGAAACGGGUUAAUAUUCCCGUACUUGGUGUUACUGCGAAGGGGGGACGGAGAAGGCUAUGUUGGCCGGGCGACGGUUGUCCCGGUUUAAGCGUGUAGGUGUGUGUUCCAGGUAAAUCCGGUUCACUUUAACACUGAGGCGUGACGACGAGGCACUACGGUGCUGAAGCAACAAAUGCCCUGCUUCCAGGAAAAGCCUCUAAGCAUCAGGUAACACGAAAUCGUACCCCAAACCGACACAGGUGGUCAGGUAGAGAAUACCAAGGCGCUUGAGAGAACUCGGGUGAAGGAACUAGGCAAAAUGGUGCCGUAACUUCGGGAGAAGGCACGCUGACACGUAGGUGAAGUGAUUUACUCAUGGAGCUGAAGUCAGUCGAAGAUACCAGCUGGCUGCAACUGUUUAUUAAAAACACAGCACUGUGCAAACACGAAAGUGGACGUAUACGGUGUGACGCCUGCCCGGUGCCGGAAGGUUAAUUGAUGGGGUCAGCGUAAGCGAAGCUCCUGAUCGAAGCCCCGGUAAACGGCGGCCGUAACUAUAACGGUCCUAAGGUAGCGAAAUUCCUUGUCGGGUAAGUUCCGACCUGCACGAAUGGCGUAAUGAUGGCCAGGCUGUCUCCACCCGAGACUCAGUGAAAUUGAACUCGCUGUGAAGAUGCAGUGUACCCGCGGCAAGACGGAAAGACCCCGUGAACCUUUACUAUAGCUUGACACUGAACAUUGAGCCUUGAUGUGUAGGAUAGGUGGGAGGCUUUGAAGUGUGGACGCCAGUCUGCAUGGAGCCGACCUUGAAAUACCACCCUUUAAUGUUUGAUGUUCUAACGUGGACCCGUAAUCCGGGUUGCGGACAGUGUCUGGUGGGUAGUUUGACUGGGGCGGUCUCCUCCUAAAGAGUAACGGAGGAGCACGAAGGUUGGCUAAUCCUGGUCGGACAUCAGGAGGUUAGUGCAAUGGCAUAAGCCAGCUUGACUGCGAGCGUGACGGCGCGAGCAGGUGCGAAAGCAGGUCAUAGUGAUCCGGUGGUUCUGAAUGGAAGGGCCAUCGCUCAACGGAUAAAAGGUACUCCGGGGAUAACAGGCUGAUACCGCCCAAGAGUUCAUAUCGACGGCGGUGUUUGGCACCUCGAUGUCGGCUCAUCACAUCCUGGGGCUGAAGUAGGUCCCAAGGGUAUGGCUGUUCGCCAUUUAAAGUGGUACGCGAGCUGGGUUUAGAACGUCGUGA
rnacentral:rRNA from 1 species